rnacentral:misc_RNA from 1 species
GGCAUGCCUUUAAUAACUAUGAUGUCAACAUAAUAUAACUUGCAAAAAUCUAUAAUAACAAUGUUAAUCCAUAUUUGGCACCACACAUUUCGUAUGUACUCAAGUUGCUUGAUCUUUAAAUUGAAUUUUUUACCGUUAAAGCACUUUGUUUGGGUAGUUUUUAUUAUAUUUCAGUCUGUAUCUUUGGGGGACUUUCUUUAUAGUUGAAUCUAUAUUGCCAAGGGUAUUCCCAGGGGGCCAUCCCAACAAGUCCUACUAAUCUAUGUUGCAAAGAAUGUAAUGUCCCCCUCUACGUGAUUUU